GCCUUCGUGGUGUAGUGGUCAGCACGCUCGACGCAUAACCGAGAGGUCCGGGGUUCGAUUCCUGGCGAAAGCG
rnacentral:tRNA from 1 species